rnacentral:misc_RNA from 1 species
UUAACUAUUAUAUAGUACUCAGACGACAUUAACAUUCAGAGUUUAGGGGUCCUCUGGCGGGCACUUACCAGCCGAAGCCGGCAGCCGAGGCGGCCCGCCAAAGCAACAAAGGUAUAGUAUUCAAGGGUGGGAGAUCUACCCGUAAGGGCAUGAACUCUGUAAUGAUCCUUCCGCAGGUUCACCUACGGAAA